rnacentral:lncRNA from 1 species
UGAGACGUGGUCUUGUAACACAGUGGUUAAGAAUGUGACUUUGGAGCCAGCCUGCUAGGGGCUGAAUUCUGACUCAGCCAUUUACUAACUGUGUGACCUUAGGUGGAGUCUCACUCUGUAGCCCAAGCUGGAGUGGCGUGAUCUCGACUCACUGCAACCUCCGCCUCCUGGGAUCAAGUGAUUCUCGUGCCUCAGCCUCCUGAGUAGCCGGGACUACAGGUCACAGAAUUUUCCACACUCCUUGACAGAGGUGCUUAACCCUUAUCCAUCAGCAUUCUCAGACAGCACCUCCGGUUAGGGACAGUAUCUGACCGUCCGACAUCCCUGCAGCCCCCAUGUGUCACACAGACUCAGCCUCAGGUAGAUGGUUUCCGUAGAUGGUGGCUUUCUUUGGACCCUUGACAUCAACCAGUUACUAUUUGCCAGAGACAGACUCCCAGACUCGGCCAGAGGCUGAUGCCAACUCCUUCCAGCUCUCACGGUAACCAUGAGGCCCCUGCGUGUUUCUGUUGUGGAGGUCCCAGAGGGAACUGUAUGGACAGACACAGCCCGAAGGGCCAUCUGCCUCAAGCCACAGCAGCACAGAAUUCUAAAGAUUGUGGGGAAGGAUGGGGCCAAGGGGACCAGAUGUGCAGAGGUAAUGAAUACCAGGGAAUCAGGAAACCACUGGAUCAGUUCUUUGAGCCACAGAACAACACUCAUCCCAGCAGCUGGGAAGCUAUCUGCAAAAGUCCAUCUGCAGAAAGGGCUUCCUGGUCUUGCGUGUGGCUGGGCCAUUUCUCUGGAUGCAGGUUUUUCAUUAUACAGUCUUCUCAAAGAACCACCUGCUCUCAACACCUUCUCGGUGACUCCAUUUCCCCUCCUCU